rnacentral:rRNA from 1 species
GAUGAAUGCUGGCGGCGUGCCUAACACAUGCAAGUCGAGCGGCAGCGAGGGGUGCUUGCACCCUGUCGGCGAGCGGCGGACGGCUGAGUAACGCGUGGGAAUCUACCCUAAAGUGAGGGAUAACCGCCCGAAAGGGUGGCUAAUACCGCAUAUGAUCUUCGGAUUAAAGGAUUUAUCCGCUUUAGGAAGAGCCCGCGUUAGAUUAGGUAGUUGGUAGGGUAAUGGCCUACCAAGCCAACGAUCUAUAGCUGGUCUGAGAGGAUGAUCAGCCAGACUGGAACUGAGACACGGUCCAGACUCCUACGGGAGGCAGCAGUGAGGAAUCUUCCACAAUGGGCGAAAGCCUGAUGGAGCAACGCCGCGUGAAGGAUGAAGGCCUUCGGGUUGUAAACUUCUUUUAUGAGUGAAGAAUAUGACGGUAACUCAUGAAUAAGCACCGGCUAACUACGUGCCAGCAGCCGCGGUCAUACGUAGGGUGCAAGCAUUAUCCGGAGUGACUGGGCGUAAAGAGUUGCGUAGGCGGUUUAAUAAGUGAAUAGUGAAACCUGGUGGCUCAACCAUACAGACUAUUAUUCAAACUGUUAAACUCGAGAGUAGUAGAGGUAACUGGAAUUUCCAGUGUAGGAGUGAAAUCCGUAGAUAUUAGAAGGAACACCAAUGGCGUAGGCAGGUUACUGGACUAUUUCUGACGCUAAGGCACGAAAGCGUGGGGAGCGAACUGGAUUAGAUACCCAGGUAGUCCACGCCGUAAACGAUGGAUACUAGCUGUUGGAGGUAUCGACCCCUUCAGUAGCGAAGCUAACGCGUUAAGUAUCCCGCCUGUGGAGUACGGCCGCAAGGCUAAAACAUAAAGGAAUUGACGGGGACCCGCACAAGCGGUGGAUCAUGUUCUUUAAUUCGAUGAUAAACGAAGAACCUUACCAGGGUUUGACAUCCCGAGAAGAUUUACGAAAGUAGAUUGUGCCUUUUGGAACUCGGUGACAGAUGAUGCAUGGCCGUCGUCAGCUCGUGUCGUGAGAUGUUUGGUUAAGUCCAUCAACGAGCGCAACCCUUGUGAAUAGUUGAAUUUUUCUAUUCAGACUGCCCCGGCAACGGGGA